CAGUCGCCGCGGGAAUACGAAGGGGGCUAGCGUUGCUCGGAAUGACUGGGCGUAAAGGGCGCGUAGGCGGCGAUCAAAGUCAGGCGUGAAAUUCCUGGGCUCAACCUGGGGGCUGCGCUUAAUACAGGCAGUCUAGAGUGAGGAAGAGGGUUGUGGAAUUCCCAGUGUAGAGGUGAAAUUCGUAGAUAUUGGGAAGAACACCGGUGGCGAGGGCGGCAACCUGGUCCUUGACUGACGCUGAGGCGCGAAAGCGUGGGGAGCAAACAGGAUUAGAUACCCCGGUAGUCCCUGUCUCUUAUAC
rnacentral:rRNA from 1 species